UGUAAAGGGAUUCAAGAAACUUUUAGUAAUCCAUAAAAGCAUAUAUAUCUUGUAACACCUCAAAUCAUAGAUCAUGUCUCAAUGCAUCCAGCAUCACCUCCAUAAUAAAGAGUUCUUAACCAAGGUUCUUUAUCCCCAUUACCAUACAAGGUUCUGUAACACUUCAAACUGGUUUCACGUGCCUUCAGACGGUUGAUUUCAGGAUCUAUAACCUUUUUAAAACCAGUGAUGACUUUGAUACUGUUCACAUAGGCUGCCUUGCUUAAACCCUCCCUAGGCCUUCCAUUUGAUUUCUAUGUUGAUUUCUCUUAAACCUCGAGAAUCUAAAAAAUCUAUUUCUUAAAUUCUUCAUUCUAUGAAUCCGACAAACACACCGUUUUCAGUUCGAACACGGUAUAGAACGAGAGAACGUUCGGUUUUAGAAGUGGGUUUAAGCAAAGACGUCUUAUUAAUGGUGGGAAGAACGUUUCGUCGGUUACAAGGAAAGAAAAUGCGUGAAAAGAAAGUUAUCGGAGCUUCGAAGGCUUUACCGGAGAGAUACAAAAAGACGAGAUAACAAAGGUAAAACCCUAAUCUAGCCGCCAAGUGUGUAUCAAUGAUUUCUGAUCAAACAAGGAUCAUCUGGUUGAGGCAGGUUUAGUCCAGCAAAGUCUUUGGCACUGUAAUUACUCCGAACACUUAAACGACUCGUAGCUCCAGCAAUUUCCCUCGUAACUAUUACUUGUGGCACAAGUAUCGCUUUCUCAGCCUCAAAACAAAGAAAAAAUGCCAGAGACUCUGUCUGUACACCAGCUUUCUUAAUACAACUCUAUGUUCAGACGUCCAUUAAUCCAUGCCUACACAAGAUCUCCAGUGUUAACAACAAGAAAGUCCUCACUCGAUUUUUAUCAAUCAAAUUUCCUUCCUUAGAGACCUCAUCUACCAACUAAAUUUUGAUAAACUAUUGUGAAUCUUGAUUAACUAACCAGUUUUUAGGUAUUAGAAAAUAGAAAUGAUGAUAGUUUAUAAAAAUUUAAUGUGACAUUUUUGACUUUGGCUAUAGUUUCAUUAUUUUCAUCCUGAGAAGUGAGAAGUCAGAGACAAUUAAGUUAUAGCUUAAAUAUCAUAUAUUCUCAAUGUAUGUAAAGGGAUUCAAGAAACUUUUAGUAAUCCAUAAAAGCAUAUAUAUCUUGUAACACCUCAAAUCAUAGAUCAUGUCUCAAUGCAUCCAGCAUCACCUCCAUAAUAAAGAGUUCUUAACCAAGGUUCUUUAUCCCCAUUACCAUACAAGGUUCUGUAACACUUCAAACUGGUUUCACGUGCCUUCAGACGGUUGAUUUCAGGAUCUAUAACCUUUUUAAAACCAGUGAUGACUUUGAUACUGUUCA
rnacentral:lncRNA from 1 species